GGAUUAGAUACCCUGGUAGUCCUAGCCGUAAACGAUGGGCACUAAGCAAGGGGCCUCCCAAGGGUUCCUUGCCGUAGCUAAUGUGUUAAGUGCCCCGCCUGGGGAGUAUGGUCGCAAGGCUAAAACUCAAAGGAAUUGACGGGGGCUCACACAAGCGGUGGAGCAUGUUGUUUAAUUCGAUACAACGCGAAGAACCUUACCUGGGCUUGACAUCUACGUGGUACCAAACCGAAAGGGGCGGGACCCUCCAUGAGGGAGCGUAGACAGGUAUUGCAUGGCUGUCGUCAGCUCGUGCCG
rnacentral:rRNA from 1 species